rnacentral:rRNA from 1 species
GAUGAACGCUAGCUACAGGCUUAACACAUGCAAGUCGAGGGGUAACGAGAGGAAAGCUUGCUUUCCUUGUCGACGACCGGCGCACGGGUGAGUAACGCGUAUCCAACCUGCCCCCAACUAGGGAAUAACCUUGCGAAAGUAAGACUAAUACCCUAUAAUUUCCUCAGAUGUCAUCUGACGAGGAAUAAAGAUUUAUCGGUUGUGGAUGGGGAUGCGUCUGAUUAGCUUGUUGGCGGGGUAACGGCCCACCAAGGCAACGAUCAGUAGGGGUUCUGAGAGGAAGGUACACCACAUUGGAACUGAGACACGGUCCAAACUCCUACGGGAGGCAGCAGUGAGGAAUAUUGGUUAAUGGGCGGAAGCCUGAACCAGCCAAGUAGCGUGCAGGAUGACGGCCCUAUGGGUUGUAAACUGCUUUUAUACAGGAAUAAAGUUAGCCACGUGUGGUUAUUUGUAGGUACUGUAUGAAUAAGGACCGGCUAAUUCCGUGCCAGCCGCCGCCGUAA